rnacentral:rRNA from 2 species
AGAUGCGAUCAUACCAGCACUAAAGCACCGGAUCCAAUCAGAACUCUGAAGUUAAGCGUGCUUGGGUGAGAGUAGUACUAGGAUGGGUGACCUCUUGGGAAGUCCUUGUGUUGCAAUCC